rnacentral:lncRNA from 1 species
CUGAUUACAGCCGCCGUUACUUCGUUUUCUAAUUGAAGAGGAGGAGAGGCUCCGGUGGUGCAAUCCAUUUGUCUCAGUGAUGCGAGUGAUUUCUUCAAGCUUUCGUGUUUGAUCCUCUUUCUUAAGCAGAUAUAUGCAGCUAUACUGUUUUCGAUGCCUGAAUCUUCGUAUUUGCUUCGUCGGAUCGCAGAUUGGAGUUCUCUAAUGCUUUCUUUUAUCAGCAAAACAGUGUCUCUCGUGUUGUCGCAGAUAUCCAGGAAUCUAACAGAAUCAUCCACCAAUUCCUGUACCCAAAUUUCACGUCGGUGUGAAGCUAGGGCUUGUUGGGCCAGUGGCAGGUUAAGAACCUCGUUUAUGCAUCUGUAGAGCUCCACAAGGCCGGAGAGACUACUGCAAAUGGCUUCAAUGCUUGAGAAAGAUGAUGGAUCCGAGGAUCUAAGCUUGGCUAGUUCUUCCUCAACACGAAUCGUGGAUGGAUGCGAUCGAGCAGGUAAACUUAUACAUCGAGCCCUAUAACGACUCCAAGGUGUUUGUGAAAAUGUAACCAUGGCUAUUCUGUUGUUGUGCUGGAUAAUGGGUGUUAGUGGGGGCAACUUAUAGAUGAAAUCCUUAAAUUCCCAUCACAGAUUUAUAUAGGUAGUAGAGUCAAUGGAAAAAAAAAAAGGAACUUUUUUAGGGAUUUUCAGAAUUGAACAUGUGAAGGCAGCCAAAGAUUAAUCAAUGAUGUGGGUUAUGAAGUCACAUCUUUUGCCGGCUAAAAAGUAAUAUUAAAUUGGUAUCAUUCAGUCUCCAUAUUAAAUGGAACCUGAAUUUGUUUUUAUCCGGUUGCGGGAUAAGUGGCUUGUCAUUCCCUUAUUUCCAUUCCCCGUAUCUCCACCGCCAUCACCGCCUACUCACGUUUAUCCAUGGUUGAAAGUUGAAUCUAAGUUCAUUGGCGUUGGAAAUAGGUAGCCAUUAAACUAAACCUGACCAUCCCCCAUGGACAAUGGACCUGAUUUUGUCUAGAACCAGCCGUCUUUCUCCUUCUGUUUCUUUAUUGUUUUAUUCACGUUUUAUAGAAGAACUUCUAGGCUGCUUCAAUGGAGUAAAAGAUUCAUCAAAGUUGAUGUAUAAUUGACCUUGAAUAAGCUCUCAAACUUCUAGAACUUUAAAGUAACUAGUCUUCACGGGGUCUUGUUUUAAAUUGUAUUAGGGGUAGAUUUUGGUGGUGAAAUGGAUUAAGGUUUUAAAUCUUUUCAAGGAUUGAGAGGGAUUAGGAGUGGAGCCCUGAUGAGAUGGCUUGGCUGUGCUUUAAAUGAGUAGAAGCAUGAGUUAUCAAUCAAAUCCUCUUUCGAAUGGCAGCUGGUGAUCAAAGACAACUUAUCAUGCAAAUGAUAGGAGAUAAGAGCAUUUGGUGGCUAGUCAUUAGAGGGCUCUACUAUUAUGCCAUUUCAAUUAGUGGUUGAAUAUGGAAAUGCCGAUCAGAUUAGAUAGAUAACUAGGGAUGGCCUCAAAUUUAGUCCUUUCUUAGUCACACCAUUCGUGUUAUUUAAUUAUAUGAUUUAUUUGUAUUUUGCUUUAAACUAAUUCACAUGUCUUGUCGAAACUUUGAGUAAUUAUAAAAUUUAUUUUUUCUAUUUAACAGUUGGGCUACAUUUUCGUCUAAAUAUCCAUUUGGUGAUAUUGAUAGAACUACAUUACAAGAUAAAUAAAAGCAUUCGAAGUACUUGGACGUUCCGUCUAAAGACUACUCUCAAAUCCCAAUUCAUUCUCUAAAGUAUUGCUUUACUUUCCUUAUUUUCUUAAACUUCUGUUUAUAAUAAGAUUUCAUAACAAACUCCCCUAGAUAAUUAGUAAUGUAUUCUUAUAUUAGAAAUGUUCCAAGUCCCAAUGUACUGACUCAUUGAACUUGUUAAACUUUUUUGUGCAAACGUGUGGGAAGCUGCUUCAUUAUGACUCUACUAGUCUCUUUUUCCAUUAAGACUCUUACUCAUCCCCUCUACUUUAAUUUUAUUACGCCAAUGCAACCUUGUGAGAAGCUGCCUUAAUGGAGCUUCUUUUUGGGGGGUUUAAAUUUCAGUUGUAGGUUUAAUGAAACUACUGUUCAUGAUAGAGGAGGAGAAAGAAGUAUCGUAAACAGAGAAUUCCUCUUGGCCGGUAUCAAGAAAUUGACUUAUUAAGAUUACAUGGAAGAGAGCCACUUGGAAUGGGCAGAUGAGGAAUCUGGUUGGGUUGGUUGAGUUGGGAUAGAGGCACAAGGCCCAUUUAAAUUGUUUGCUAUCUGGACGGCAAAAGCCCAUUGGCAGAUCGAGUUAGAAAGCUGGCUAGAUUUCACCAACCAACCCUCCAUUCUUCACUUGAUUAUUGGAAUGUUUGGUCAAAUCCUAUUGUAUGCAAGAGAAAAUUAGGUGAAGGUGAAAAUACAAAUCUAUUCCCCUAAACUUCACCUAUUUUCUUCAGGAAGUAGAUAUGUCUUAACCAUGAGCCAUCGUUCCAAUUUAGCAUGAUGGAACAUUGAAAUGGAAGGUUAACCUCAAGUCUCAUAUGGAUCCGAACACAGAAGAUUUAAGAAAACACCCAAGAUGAUUAUAUUGCAAUAAUAAAAAAAACCACAAAAUUAAUAACCUUUUACUAUGUCUUUCGUAUAAUCCAACCCACUACGGACCUCCUCCCAUUUGUAAUCCAACCAUCUCUAGUUUACCACUAUACAUUUACUGAUCUUAUUGCUAUGUUCAAGAAUCAUCUACUAGUAUCCUUGCAGCAACCACAUCUUUCGACCUUCGGGGUUCCUACUUUGGGUAAAUCUUAGAUGAAAUGAAGUUUCAACAUUUAGAUUUAGAUGUGAUUUCAUACGAUAUGAUGUAUAAUGUAAUGAGUUCAACUUUAUUCGUCGAACCUUUACGUGGAUGGCGAUUUCAUAUAAAGACACAAAGGGAAUAAUGGAUCGAACAAGCAAGUAAUUUCAUCAUUUUCAAAGACUUAACUAUUAUUCUUGUUUAGAUCAAGAACAAAUAGAAUACAAAUCGUAUUAUGUACAUGAAACUCGAGCUAAAUAUCCCAAUGGCGGAUCCCUAAAAGUUGGAUGCCUUUACAGGAUUCAGGGCGUCAAAAUUGGCUAUGGAAAUAGAAUACAAGCCUAUUGAGAGAUUAUGUUCAACAUAGAUGCUCUUGUUUUGAUCAAUCUCCUGAACACACCAUCCAAGCCACUCUCAAUUUCUUGUGCUGCCAUUUCCAAGCUCUCCAAUCUUUUUUGAGCAAUCUGCGACUUCUCAACCUCCAUUUCUUGAACAACGGAGCUCAAAGCCACAUCCACAUUCUCAAAUUCGUUCAAUCCACUGUUUGAUUCGCAG